GGGGAAGGGUUUAUUUGGGUAAAUGUUAGGUUAAAAACCGUGUUUGAUACCAAACAAAAUAAAUAAUUAAAAUAGUUAUUUAACUAUUUUGUUUUUAUUGAUUCUUUUGUUGUCAGGUCAAAGAAAUAAUUGUGCAAUAUUUCAGCUUGAUCCGACAUAGGGUUUCAGAUAAGUACACAUGUUUUCCCAGACAGACUAAGAAACAGACAGAUUGAGAUUAUGUAAGCUUUGUAAAGACUAAAUGACGUGUGUAUAGAUAAGGACUGGAUCUUAAGACCAAAUCUAGACCGAACCAAAGAAAUAUCAUUGUGUGAGAAAGGGAACUACUACAUUGUGAGAAAUGGUUUCUCUACUGGACUGUUCUAAGGAAGAGACAAACAUAGUUUAUUCUUACACGUUACAUCAGGGGGUGGGGGAGACAAACAAGGACUAAAAUAGAAAGGGGAUUUCCAGGAGACUAAUUUUUUUUCGGCCAAAAUGGAGUAGGGGGAGGGAUGCAAAAAAAUAGUGUUCUGGUAAAAAAAAAAUCAACCUAGCGAAGCACGGGUAUCAACUAUUAUGUGUUAACGGCAAAUUGCGAAAUCCGUAUUCUAGAAAUAACUGUUUCAUAAUUUACCUAGACAUUAUAAAGAAUGACGAUUAUAUCGUAUUCAGACUGAGAAUGAAACCUCGCUUGAAAGUAUAGUAAUAGUAUAUGUUUCUUGAAUGAUUUUUGAAUUGGAAAGUAUUUUGUGAUCAUUUUAAAAGUUUCAAAUUCGUUUUAAUUACGAGUGUGUAAACUGAGCCACAACCUUAUUGUGGGGUUGUGUCAAUUGAUGAUAACAGAUGGCCCAUAGACAGGUCUAGAAAUAAUAGAAGAAUAUAUUUAAAAAAUCUCCUACCAUCAGUAACCAUCUCGUUCUGAAGCCUCCUGCAGUCAGAUACCCUCGUCUAUGUCAGUGCAAGUCAUUGCCUAAGCUGGUCUUUAAAGCGUUUCUGUGGGACAUCUCUGUUACGUUUACGACUUUUCAGCUAAAAAAAAAAAAGGCUGCCUUUUGCAAACGUUCUUCCCCCCCCUCCCCCUCCCAAAAGGGAUAGUGCUUUCUCUAUCGUAACUGUCGGACCAUAAGAACUCUCUCAUACUGUCCAUACCGGCGUUCGGUAGACAUUACUAUUUGUAGUGCGGUCUUGCCACCGUAUGUCCAUGAUGGAGUGCAAACAUGUUUGGUGAAAGCGUUUAAGAAGUCUUAGUUGCUUUCUGUAUAGUACCCGUGUGUCAGAUCCAUAUAGAAGGGUUGAGAGAACCACUGCUUGGUAGACCGUAGACACUGACUUUUUUUUGUCCAAAAUAUGAUUUGAUAAGUCUUUUUUUAGAAUACUAACGCAUUGUUUUUAAGUCGUUCUGCUAUUUUAUUUUGCUAAAAGUCAAAAAGUCCAUGUUUUACCCAAGAGAUAUUGCAUUACUUCGUACUAAAGAUUUAAUGAAUAUACUAAUUGCAAUAUUAAUGUCUGAACGUAACCAUUUGAGAAGUUACACUGCAAAAAUUUUCUUAUAAGCCAAUAAUAGCCUAAUACUUUUAGCCGAAAGAUGGAAUGUAAACUACACUAUAUCUUAUCUUAUGAAAUACAGACGUUACAUCAAAAAAAGAAAAUGAUUACGUCCUACGCAUAUUCUGUAAGGGGACUUAAGAGACUUUCUAUUCUAAUCGCCAUGUACAUUAACAUUUAGAACGAAACAAAAACACGAAAGCAACUCUUUUCCCGAUCGCUCAUUUUGGUCAUUACAAAAAUGUUUCCAAAAUAAGUAAAAGUCUUUCCUCGACAAAUGAUUCAACUAAGCGAGGCUCGGUCACCUGGUAUUAUAGAAAUGAACCAAUGAACCCAAUAAGCCUAUUUUCUUUCAGUUUGUGUGAAAUGGGCUACUGAUUGACAGGUAACAAGGCGGGGGCGCGGGUUAUAGUUAGUACUAAUAUCAUGUAUACAGGUCACUGAGGUCAAGUACUAAUAUCAUGUAUACAGGUCACUGAGGUCAAGUACUAAUAUCAUGUAUACAGGUCACUGAGGUCAGCACUACAGUAUAGGACUAUCAUAAUGAACACAUUAAAAUCCAAACUACCAAAAAGCUAAUAGUCUUUUUUUUUUUUUAUUUGAAUGUGUUGUUACCUCUCUCCAUUGUUGCUAUGUUACUAACAGGGUUCUGUUCCAAUGAUUGGUGUCCAUGUUACUAACAGGGUUCUGUUCCAAUGAUUGGUGUCCAUGUUACUAACAGGGUUCUGUUCCAAUGAUUGGUGUCCAUGUUACUAACAGGGUUCUGUUCCAAUGAUUGGUGUCCAUGUUACUAACAGGGUUCUGUUCCAAUGAUUGGUGUCCAUGUUACUAACAGGGUUCUGUUCCAGUGAUUGGUGUCCAUGUUACUAACAGGGUUCUGUUCCAAUGAUUGGUGUCCAUGUUACUAACAGGGUUCUGUUCCAAUGAUUGGUGUCCAUGUUACUAACAGGGUUCUGUUCCAAUGAUUGGUGUCCAUGUUACUAACAGGGUUCUGUUCCAAUGAUUGGUGUCCAUGUUUAGGGAACUGUCGACCUGUUGACUUUAUUGACACCUAGCUAGAACAAGAGCAAUCUAUAUUUUGUUUUAAAAGGAGGGUUGGGGUCAUUCCUACUCUUGUUAAUUGACUUGUCAUUCCUACUCUUGUUAAUUGACUUGUCAUUCCUACUCUUGUUAAUUGACCUUUGACCUGGCCGCCUGGAAAACUUUGACCGUUAGCUCGUGCUCUCUUCUGCUGGAUAAAAUUCUUGGACGUCGAGUUUCUGGCGUGACCGCAGCUCGUGCCGCUUGCUUUGACUUCGAACAACACUUCUGCGAUAAACAGUCUCGUCACGAGCGGCAGACAAAAAGCUCA